GAUGAACGCUGGCGGCGUGCUUAACACAUGCAAGUCGAACGGAAAGGCCCUGCUCUUGCGCGGUGCUCGAGUGCCGAACGGGUGAGAAACACGCGAGUAUCCUGCCCUUGUCUUUCGGAUAACUUCACGAAACAGGGGCUAAUACCGCAUAGGAUCUCCUGAUGCAUGGUGGGGGAUGGAAAGUUUCGGCGGUUGGGGAUGGACUCGAGGCUUAUCAGCUUGUUGGUGGGGUAGUUGCUUACCAAGGCUUUGACGGGUAGCCGGCCUGAGAGGGUGACCGGCCACAUUGGUACUGGGGUACGGCCCAGACUCCUACGUGAGGCAGAAGUGGGGAAUAUUGCACAAUGGGCGGAAGCCUGAUGCAGCAACGCCGCGUGCGGGAUGACGUCCUUCGGGUUGUAAACCACUGUCGCCGGUAACGAAGCGGUAGUGACGGUAAUUGGUAAAGAAGCACCGGCUAACUACGUG
rnacentral:rRNA from 1 species